CCUACGGGUGGCAGCAGUGGGGAAUCUUCCACAAUGGGCGAAAGCCUGAUGGAGCAACGCCGCGUGGGUGAAGAAGGUCUUCUGGUCGUAAAACCCUGUUGUUAGAGAAGAAAGUGCGUGCGAGUAACUGUUCACGUUUCGACGGUAUCUAACCAGACAGCCACGGCUCACUACGUGCCAGCAGCCGCGGUAAUACGUAGGUGGCAAGCGUUAUCCGGAUUUGUUGGGCGUAAAGGGAGCGCAGGCGGUCUGUUAAGUCUGAUGUGAAAGCGUUCGGCUUAACCGGAGGAGUGCAUUGGAAACUGGGAGACUUGAGUGAAGAAGAGGAGAGGGGAACUCGAGGUGUAGCGGUGAAAUGCGUAGAUAUAUGGAAGAACACCAGUGGCGAAAGCGGCUCACUGGGCUGUAACUGACGCUGAGGUUCGAAAGCGUGGGUAGCAAACAGGAUUAGAUACCCUUGUAGUC
rnacentral:rRNA from 1 species